GCAGCAGAGGAACAAUUUCAGCAAUUUGGACUCAGCUCAGCCACUACAGAGGAAACAAUGACUUCAACACAAAAGGACCAACAUGGAGCGAGAAGUCAGCGCUCUCAGGAGGCCGACAAACAUCACAGAAGAAAGGGAGAGAAAAAAUACAGCUGUGAUUUGUGUGGAAAUUUUUUUACCCGGGCUCAACACCUAAAAACACACCAACUCAUCCACAGUGGAAUUAAACCGUACAGCUGUGAUUUGUGUGGAACUUUUUUUACCCGGGCUGGAAACUUAAAAACACACCAACUCAUACACAGUGGAAUUAAACCGUACAGCUGUGACUUGUGUGAAAAAUCUUUUACACGGGCUCAACACCUGAAAACACACCAACUCAUGCACCGUGGAAUUAACCCGUACAGCUGUGACUUGUGUGGAAAAUCUUUUACCCGGGAUCAACACCUGAAAAAACACCAACUUAUCCACAGUGGAGUUAAACCGUACAGCUGUGACUUGUGUGGAAAAUCUUUCAUCCAGGCUCAACACCUGAAAACACACCAACUCAUCCACCGUGGAGUUAAAGCGCACUACUGUGAGUUGUGUGGAAAAUCUUUUACCCAGCCUGGAAGCUUAAAAAGACACCAACUCGUCCACAGUGGAGUUAAAGCGUACAGCUGUGAUCAGUGUGGUAAAGCUUUUGCUCAAAGUAUAUACUUACAGCGUCAUCAAGUUACCCACUCUGGAAGUAAAGCGUACCCCUGUGAUUUUUGUGGAAAAACAUUCCGCCGCAUAGAGUCACGAAAUAGACACUUACGCAUUCACACUGGACAUAAUGUUUAUUUCUGUGAUCAGUGUGGAAAACUCUUUCCAACAGGUGUACAGUUACAACAACACAUGUUUACCCACAAUGAGGAGAGACCUUAUAAAUGUGACCUGUGUGAUAAGACUUUCAAAUCUCCAAAUUUCCUGAGAAAACACCAAAAGAUCCACACCAGAAAGUAACUUUACAACUGCAGUUACUGUGAGGUGGGGAGACUUAAGCGGGUGAGGUAUUGGAGCCUUGAACAUGAGGUUUGCCCAUAGGAAGCGGAGAUGGGAGUUACUGAAAUAACCACUGACUAGUCGAAAACAAAUUUUCCUUCUCAGCCCAUUGCCAGGCCUGAAGAUCCUCUUCUUUUCAGUCUGGGGAUCUGACCAGGGUGUACCCUGCCUCUUGCCCUCUUACAACUUUAAUAGACUCCAAACUUCCAACAUGUAUUUAUGGUCAUGAGCAGUGAUGGGAAUAAUGGCAUUAAAAUAAACAGUGGUACUAACACCAGUACUUGUUUUCAGUGACUAGUAACCUAACUAAUUGCUUUUUCUGUCAUUACAACACCGUUACUAGCAAGAAAAAGCGGUGAAGGUGUGUUCCAGUUUGUCAACACACAGACGGUUGAAGCUGUCUUCUUCUUACCGUGAGCUAAGGGGAGCAAACAAUCACACGAAUGCUGCCACAGUUUUCUACAGAGUCCUCAGAGAGCUGUGUGGACCUCAAUUCUGGAUCAUCCUGAGACAACAAAUCUGAACCCAAACUCCAGUUAUCUAUGUAUUUGCAUGUAUCCAGUUCAGAGCUGUGGGGUGCUGGAGUCUGCAGCUGUCACAGGUAUAGGCUAUGAAAGUGAAUGAACAUGAUGUCCUAGAUACCAGCUCAUUUUGGUGGAAAUUGAAUAAUUUUGCGAGAAGGCUUAAGCAGGUCAACAGCAAGGGGAGGAAGAUGGUUUUUCAGGAUUCAAAGCAAUGCAGGAGAAACUGGAGGAGAGGAGACACUCACAUGAAGACACACUGGAUUAAAGAAAGAAGCACAAAAGCUCAGAUAUCUGAAACUGAUUCAAAACCCCAGAGAGCUCAAACUUUAACCACAUUCCUCCACACCUGUUGGUGGCGAUAAUGCACCUAGUGGUUGUUGAAGACAGAGCCUGUGCAGUAGUGACUGGAUUUGCUCCUUCUCCUUGAUAGAGAAGGGUCUGGCUGCAGCCACUGGGGAGCGCCAUAUUGGGACCUCCACAGUAACCGGAAACACGUGACCUCCACAGUAGGCGGAAAUACGUUCCUGCAUGGAUCAUGGACUGUGGAAACCUUGCAAGUGGAUCGUAAAGAUGCACAUAUCAAUUUGGAAUUCUGCCUCCAAGCCAGAAUUGCAGGAAUGCACCACAUGUUGCAGAAGACUCUUUCACUGCCCUCUGUGCCCCACUCUCAGCCCUACUGUCAGGGCAAAGAUUGAGGAGCAUAUAAAUGGAUACAUUAAAAUUGCUUGCCUUUCAAAGGUAUGUUGGUAUUAAAUAUACCUCAUAGUUAAAGUUAUAAAUAUGCAUUUCUUUUCAGCACCUCUGCAGUCUCUUUGUUGACUUAAAAGUUGCUUUUCACAUUGUACAGUUCAGUGCAUUCAUCAGCAAGAGAAAAAAAGUGUGUUUUCAUUAAAUAUUUUUUUUCUUGUUCACCACAUUUCCUGACAGCUCUUGUGAUCCACAACAUUUUGCUUUCAUUAUUGAGGAUGGCUUGGAUAUUUUUGUUACUAUGUACAAUCUGAUUGUUAGAUAAACUGAUUGCAUUCUAUACAACUACAUUUAAAUUACAUGUUGUUGUUUUUUUUUCUCUCUUACAGACAAAAUGAUAAGCCAGUGCACUUUCACUGCCCUGUCUGUAACAUGAGAGUAGGGGUGGGUUUUAAUAAUCGAUUCAUCGAUUAAAAUCCAUUCUGGCUUGGAUAACGUGAAAUCGAUUCAUUA